AGGAGCUGGUUGCACCAAGGAGCCGGUGCCGGCGGUGAAGCUGCAGCCCCGUGCCGUGUUUUACACCAAGGGGUGUUGGAGAAACAUCAGCCGAGGUCUUAAGGCAGAGCCUGCCUCCUUCGUGGCUAUUUCUCUUCCCCAAAGUCUUCUGGGUAGAUGCGAUGCCACCUUAGCGUUGCAGGCCUUCAGGCAGGCUAACGGAAUCUGUAAUGAAAGGAAAAAUAUCAUUUGGGAAGGCAAUUAUGCAAAGACAAAUGUAUUUUUAAGGGAACGCAGAAGGGUUUGAGCAGCAGCCUGGCGGAUCCGUGGUUUGCAGCCACGUGUCUCUCCGGGGUUGGAUGAUGGCAGUUACUCCGUGUCCUGCCACCAAAGCGCCCUGCCCAGCGCCCCACUUUAGACCUGUCCGUGUUCUCCGGAGUCUCGCUGAGCACGGGAUGUAACCACACCUCGCGGAGCCCAGCCGUUGUCCUCUCAAAGCAGCACCGUUAUUUUCCCAAUAGAUCUAUUUCUGAGAAUAUCAGACAUGGUGUUUUUUCAGGAAUCUCAGCACAGGCUAAAACAGCAGAUAAAAGGAACCGUGUGAAAAGCCCUUUCUCCUUUUCUUGUUUCUCUUGAGUGAGUCAGAUUGAGGUAUUACCGCCUGUCAGGGAUGCUUUAAGGCACGGCCAUCGCUGGAUUAAAGCAAAGUCCAGAGACAGGAUUUGGCCUUUGGUGAAGAUCUCUUUUCCUGAGCCAUUCCUCCCAGGCUGCCCCAGCAUGUCCAGCAUCCCUGCCGCAUCUUACGCCCACACAGCCGUCUGAUCCGGACAAGGCUACAGACAGCCCAGUUCUGAGGGUAUUAUUUUAGCUCCUCUGAGGAAGUUCUGAUGAAUUUAAAGAAGAGAAAAUCAGCGUUGUUUUAUGAAGUGCUUUUUUUUUUUUAUCAAUACAUAUAGAAAUCCUGAAAGGUCUUUGCAUGACUGAGAACGGCUGUUGUGCACACAGGAGGUGCUGCUCGAUGAGGUCAGGUUUGAUGAGUUCUUGGAGCUUUCCAGACCAAGACCCCCAAACGGCAUCCUUGAAAGUGUGGAUAACCAAGAACUGGCUUAGGGAGGAUGGGGAAAAGCAAUUUCUCUCCAAUAAGAGGCUGGUGCUUAAGGAGCCGGGGAGCAUUUGGCAGUGUUUUGUGGAGAGGGAGAUGACUCCAAGGCUGCUGAGCAUCUGCCCAGGGGGACCAAACAAGAUGCUGCACCAAGCGCCCAUCAACAGCCCAAGGAGAGACACCUAAUAAGUGACUGAAGAAAAAUAACUUAUGGGUGUAACAACGGCCUGAAAUUCCUGACUGGAGACUCAGAGAGGAAUGCUCUCAAGCAGCAAAGUGUGUGAUGCGGUGAUGGACCAGGAGAGAAGCGUGCUGGGGAGGUAAAACCAGUCCCGUCUCUGCAGCAGUGCCUGUGCUGCACUGGCACGAGCCGGUGGUGCUGGGAUGGCACUCACGGCUCUCGGCAUUUCCCCGUGCUCGACUUUCCCCUCCCCAAGGCGCAGCGGGUCUGGCCGGCACACGGAGCGGGGAUGGGGCUGCCACCCAGCCCCGUCCUUCAGCGGUGCUCCUGCCGUGUGCCGCAGGUUGCUGGUUUGCUUUGCCGAGCACUGGCAGUGAUUUAAAACCAUCCCGUGCUAAUCCAUAUAAAUUCUUUUAAUCGUAUAUUUAAUCUUUUAAGCACGUGGUAAUUAAAUUACGUGCCACUCAGAGGCACAUCAACAUAACGGGUGAGAUGCGCAGCCCCGUGGGCAGCGGAGCAGAGCUGCAGGACAGCCGGAGCCGUGGCCAGGGUUCAGUCGUCGGCUUCCUGGGGCUUCUGCUGUUUCCUUGUGCUUAUUUUUUCCCCUUCUCUUUUUUUUUCCAACACCUCUGAUACCCAGGGAGGCGAUAAGCUUCUAGAAAGUCCAAGAUGGGUAUCACCUCAGCAGAGCAGACUGAGGAACAUCCCCAGGAGAGAAACAGAACUAGUGUUCUUUCUUCUCCCGAGUAACAAAUUAUAGGACGAGAGGAAAUGGCCUCAAGCUGUGCCAGGGGAGGUUCAGGUUAGACACCAGGAAAAAUUGCUUUACCGAAAGAGUGAUGAAGCCCUGGCAGAGGCUGCCCAGGGCGGGGGUGGUGUGUCUGUCCCUGGAGGGGUUCAAAAAACAUGUAAGUGUGGUGCCUGGGGACGUGGUUGGGCAGGCAGGGGGGGUUGGGCUGGCAGUUGGACUUGAUGAGCUUAGAGGGCUUUUCCAACUUUAAUGAUUCUGUGGUAUUUCUGGAGCUCCUCUAACCCGUCCCCUGCGUCCCUCGGGAACCGCGUUGCUCUGACAGCAUCACCGCGGGCAGGAGCAUGGGCUGGCUUAGCCCGGGUGGUGGAGACACCUCUCCUGCUUCGGUGUUCGAUGAUGCUGAAAGAAGGAAAAGGAGAAACAGGGGAGAGAGACAUAAAGCCCUGGCACAAGCGAAUGGGGCAGGGCCUGGAGGAGGAGACGUAGAGGAGAAUGCUCCAGAGCUCCUUGUACAAUUGGUGAUCAUUUAUUCUUCUCCUUCACAGCCGGAUGGCACGGGAUGCUUUGAUGGGCUGGAGUCAAUGGAGGAAAAUACAUGACAUGAGAAGCACAUUAACAGAUUAAACUUUGUGAUGGGAAGGGGAGAGUGGAGAUGAACUGCUAGGUAGAGAGAUGACUGGCUUUGGGAAUGUGACAAUUACUGCACUUAAUAUUUUUUUUAACAUUAAGAGCCAAAUAGGAGCAUAUAUUUAAUUCAUUAAAACAGUAUGAAGUAGCUCCCUCCAUCCCAAUGCCGUUAAUUGGUGCUCUAUAGAGAAGUAUCAGGAAAUAAGUGUCUCCUAAUGAAAGGGUCCCCGUAAGGUCAGCCUGCCGCUUGUAAGCUAAUCGGAGUCUUAUUUGUUUUGCAAAUUGCUCUCCCAUUUUGAACCGCUGUGCAGUAAUUUCCAUGGUGGGAAGCAGGAGAGAGUUCACGGGGCUGUUUUUGAAGCCCUCAAUCUGUCAUUGGGAGGAGGAUAAAAAUAGCCUGGGAAAGACGAGGACCGGGCUGCUGGGUUUGUUCCAGGCAAUCCAGCCGCAUCUCUGCCAGCGGGGAUGGGGCAGUCAGACAACCGCGUAGGCAGUGGCACCGUCCCAUGCGUGCUGGGGACCGGGAGGCUGGGGGACAGCGGGGACCCCUCACCGUGCCUGGGCGAGCAUCGUUCUCCUGCCCUGCGCUUUCCAGCUCUCCCACUGGCCUCCCCGGCGGGGCGCGUGGUCCAUGGGGGUGCUGCUGCCACUGCCUGUGUCUUCUGCAUCGUUAGAUGCACAGAAAUGAGGUGCCAGUGCACAGAAACACAUUGCCUGAGGUCACAGCGUGCCUGGUACGUCGGGCAGAAGCGGGUUGUUGAGGGCAGGGAUGCAGAGCACGAUGGGGUUGUGAGAUGUUUUGGGCAGAGAGGGAGCAGCGUCGGUACCUCAUCCACACGCAGAGGGCCUGAGGCAAAUGCAAAGCCUGAAUUAGCUGUUUAAACCCUUUUCCUUCUCUCUCUGAGGCUGCUGCAGGUCUGGCUGCUGUUCUGAAGCACAACAGGUCCAUAUCCCGGGGUUCAUUUUUAUCUCUGCACGCUCACUUGUAGAGGAGGCAUCUCCCUCCAGGCCAGUGUGGGUGAUGACCCUUCUCCCUUGCUUGACUCGAUUAUUUAUUUUACAGAUGCACACGUGGGAAGAGGCUUGUUGAGUCCCUUUGCAUCCCCUGAGACACUCGGGGCGCAGCAGCGGCUCUGCACUUUCCCCCCAUCACCUUCCUUCCACCCUGCAGCCCCUGUCCCCAGGGCACAGCCCCGAGCAGGAGGAGACGAGAAGGGCCUGGGAAAGCAGGAAGAAACCCUCCUUCUAAAAUUUGAAGUGAAAAAGUAGAGUGACGUGUAAAUUGGCCCUGUCGUCCUUUCCUUACCAAUUCACCGGCUCGGGUUCAGCAGCGCUCCCUGGUCCAGGCUGCAGGUGAUGGAGAGCCCGACAGCGUCGCUGCCGAUUUGACUCAGAGAUUUAGAAACCAGAAGCUGCCUCAGCUCUGCAAUAACCACCCUGGGAUGCAGCUCUCCCACCAUCAACUCCUGGCAGUGCUUUUCCCCCUGUUUCAAAGCAGGAUGAUUGGGAGCAGCCCCUGGCUGUCCUGACGGCUCUGCUCUUUCUGCUUGGCAGUUGCUCGCACAUGCAGCAGUGCAGUGAGUACGGGCGAGAAAGAACCUUUAUUUCCCAGUGUCAUAGAAAAAAAAAGAAAUAGCCUUUAUUUUAAUUUCGCCCUAAAGUAAUAAAACCUACAAUGCAAAGAAGUAGAAUUUUUUCCCCAAAUGUCAUGGAAAUGGCAAAAUUGCAGCAACUGUAUUUGUGUGCAAAAGAGAGAUUAAUUUUAAAAGGUUAUAUUGAUUGCAGUCAGGCAUGAACCUGCAGCAAGGAGCCCUCUGUGCAGCCCCGGGAGCCAGUGGCUCUCCUCUCCACGGGGCUUCAGCAUCUCCCCAGGACACGGAGGCAGCCCUGGUGCAACACACCAUAAAUCCAGAGCUGCGAGGGGUGAGCUGAGCACGUGUGAUCCCCGGAGCAGCCCUGGCUCCUGAAACCAAAGGUUUUCAUCCAUCAGCGUGUGAAUCGCUGGCAAGCUCAGCGUCCAAGUGGAGAAGUUCUCUGGGAGUAAAGAGGGAGCCCUGAGGGGUGCUUCUGCAUUUGACCGCUAGGAAGGACUCCUGGAUCCUCCAGGAUAACAAAGCUGAUUUCCUGCAGCUGUAUUGAACCAGCACAAAGAACGUGCUAGGGAGGAACCUGGGAAUGACGUGCCCUUCUCAGCCAACUGAUAGCACAUGCCCAGCGACAGAGGGCUGGGCCGCCUGCGGUGCAGACCAGAAGUGGGAUUGUGCUCCACCUGAAGCGAUGGGAGGUUGGCGGGGAGCGGGCGGGUUGUCCUUCUCGCCAGCACUGGUGGUUCCAGUCAUGAGAGCUUUGUAACAGGAGUUCAGGGGGAGGGAGGGCUGCCCGGAGCACCGCAGCCAGCCAGGCACGGGGAGAGGUGAGGGCCUGGUGUGGUGGUGGACAGGUUGGCUUCAGCCCGGGAUCUGUUUGGGGCCGCAGUCCUGGCUUGGCUGUGCUCCGGAGGGCCGUGGGCAGCUGGGUGUGUUUAGACCCUCCUCUUGGAACUUCCUCAGGGAACUGCCCAGUGUUCCCUGUUGCAUCCUUCCAGCAUCUCCAGAAACCUUGGGUUUAGUUAAUUCCUGGAUUGAUUUCUAAGACCUGGAGACAGCCAAGUUAGAGUUAAAUGGCAGUCUGGAAGCAUCAGCGGCACGAGGAAAGUCCUCUGGUAGCAGGUGGAACCUGUGAGCAUCAUAAGGCGAGUUUGACAUCUCCUUGGUUGCUCCUCCCGUGUUCUUGGUCUCUGGGGUAGCUCUGCUUGGCUUCACGUCAGCACAGAUGGACACGGUUGCUUUCUUCAAGCACUUGCUGAACUUGCAUUACAUUGUCUGCCCUGGCCAUCAGCUUUUGCAGUGGGGGCUGAAUGGACCCAGAUCCUUGGGGACUCUUUUUCCCCUUGCCACCAAGGCAGCUCUGCUUUCUCCUCAAAGAUGUGCUAGUAGCAAGUUCCAUCUUCUCCCAGGGCAGCGGGGCAGAAGCUGGCAGCCUCCCAGCAGCCCCGAGUUGUCACUUGCCAUCAUAACUCAUGGGAUCUUGUUUUUCUUAUGAGGACUAGAGUCUGCGGCAAAGUUGCCCAAGCAGAGAACAAGAGUCAUAGUCUCUCCCAUGAGAAUAUGAGGGGACUUUUAAAUCCCAAUGGCCAAAGUUUGCUCCCAGAACCCAUUUUCUCCUCUUCCUUAGGGCACCACCUCUGUUUGGCACCAAUGCAGGUGCGUGAAUGGUCCCUCCCCUGCCCGCCAUCAUCUGAGCUACGGCGUUUCCCACAUCAAGCGUGAACCAAGGCUGACCUUCCUCCGCGUGCGAGAAGCUGUACUUGGAUAUAUACAUAAAUCUCUGCCUCUGUGAGGCAGUCUCGGAGCUUGAAAGCUGCAUUCGUGGGGUCGUGCCCCGCAGCAUGGGACCAGGAGUGGCUCCAUCCUUCGCUCGGCGCAACCAGCUGGUUCUCCGUGCCGCCCGCGCGAUGCCGGGGCUCCGGACUUCAAUGGCAGGAGGAGGAAACGCUUCGCCUUGAUCAGGAGGGAUAAGAAUAGUGAGCGGCAGGCGGCAGAUGGUGGGGUGCGGAUGAAAGGCGGCUGGCUCUCAUUCUUCCCACGCCCAGGGCGAUCUGCCCCUUCUUUUCUCCGAGCCGUAAUUGCAUGCCAUGCCGCAGAUGAGUGUCGCACUCCACCAAAGCCGGAGCACCGCGAGGCCAGGACUCCAGGCUCUCCAUCAAUGAGCGGGGAGGCAGGGAGGAUGCUUUUGAUCCCUCUCUUCUUCCUCUGACGUUCUGAAGAAUGAUUAGGCUCUGAAGAAGGUAUUUGUCUGGCUGGAGCUUCCCCUUUCUCGGUAAAGGGGACCAAGCACUGCUCUGCCGCUCUGAGAGAUGCAAACCACUCUCAUGGAAGAUGCUCGCUGGGCUCUGGGCCAAGAUCAGACCCAAGCCAACGUCCCCGGGCCCUCCACAGUGCCCAGUCAUUGAGAUGAUGGAUGCUAGCAUGGUUUCCUGGCAGCAGUCCCUGCCUUUUGGUGGCUUCUGCUCUUAGAUGUCCUACUGGAGACAGCCUUGUCUGGGGCUCCAGAGCCCUUGGAGGUGUUGAGCCACCUCAGCACCCAGUUUUCCAAACCUAGCAGCUGUGGUGGGACAUUGUGACCUCCCACUUCCCUGUGUUUUUUCAGGUGCUUCCUCUGGGUUUGAUUCCAUUAAUUUACCACACGCACAGAGAACAUAAAUGGGUUCGAACCUCCAUCUCCAACAGCUGAAAUCCAAUAAUCACCCAGCGUAACCCACCUGGAGAAGCGUUCUCGGCUGGUCAGCAAAUUGUGAAGAAAUUCACUGUAUCCUUUAGAGCAAGAAAUUAUCCGGGAGUAUAAAUUAUGGCUCUGGCAGCCUUUCAGGUACAAAAAAAUAAAAUUAAAAGAGUGAGUGAGACAGGAGAUUUAAAUGAUGCACUGGGAAACUUAGAGCAGGUGGCACCUUGAUCUGAGGUAACUUUAGCUGAGGUUUUCACUUUAAAUGAAGGGCACCUGGUGGCAGUGUCAGGAGAGGAA